rnacentral:lncRNA from 1 species
AAUGAAAUUGUGGAUAUAAAACAUGAUGUAAAAUGAUAUUUUUCUUAACAAGAUAUAUUUUUUAAAAAUAUUAAUGAUACUUUUUUUAUAAAAGCAAAAAUAAUACAUUUUAUAAAGGUAUCGUUUGUUAUUAAUAAUGCAUAGUCAAUUUUAAUGUUUACCUUGCUUCCUUCCUCUGUUUUUUUUAUUAAGUGUCCUAUUUUAAUAUUUAUCUUUUUCCUCCCG